rnacentral:rRNA from 1 species
AUUGAACGCUGGCGGCAGGCUUAACACAUGCAAGUCGAGCGGGGUGAUGGUGCUUGCACUAUCACUUAGCGGCGGACGGGUGAGUAAUGCUUAGGAGUCUGCCUAUUAGUGGGGGACAACAUCUCGAAAGGGAUGCUAAUACCGCAUACGUCCUACGGGAGAAAGCAGGGGAUCUUCGGACCUUGCGCUAAUAGAUGAGCCUAAGUCAGAUUAGGUAGUUGGUGGGGUAAAGGCCUACCAAGGCGACGAUCUGUAGCGGGUCUGAGAGGAUGAUCCGCCACACUGGGACUGAGACACGGCCCAGACUCCUACGGGAGGCAGCAGUGGGGAAUAUUGGACAAUGGGGGGAACCCUGAUCCAGCCAUGCCGCGUGUGUGAAGAAGGCCUUAUGGUUGUAAAGCACUUUAAGCGAGGAGGAGGCUACUUUAGUUAAUACCUAGAGAUAGUGGACGUUACUCGCAGAAUAAGCACCGGCUAACUCUGUGCCAGCAGCCGCCGUAA